rnacentral:rRNA from 1 species
UACGGGGGGGGCAAGCGUUGUUCGGAAUUACUGGGCGUAAAGGGCUCGUAGGCGGCCAACUAAGUCAGACGUGAAAUCCCUCGGCUUAACCGGGGAACUGCGUCUGAUACUGGUUGGCUUGAAUCCGGGAGAGGGAUGUGGAAUUCCAGGUGUAGCGGUGAAAUGCGUAGAUAUCUGGAGGAACACCGGUGGCGAAGGCGGCAUCCUGGACCACGACUGACACUGAAAAGCGAAAGCCAGGGGAGCAAACGGG